CACAGUCAAUGUGUAUCUGUGUGUGUAUGUAUCUGACACACAGAUACAUACACACUGUGUCACGGUGUGUAUAUCUAUGUGCCACUGUGUGUAUAUCUGUGUGUCAGAUACAUACACACACAGAUACACAUUGACA
rnacentral:miRNA from 1 species